AGAGUUUGAUUAUGGCUCAGGAUGAACGCUAGCGGCAGGCUUAACACAUGCAAGUCGAGGGGUAUAGUAGCAAUACUAGAGACCGGCGCACGGGUGCGUAACGCGUAUGCAACCUACCUUGAACAAGGGAAUAGCCCAGAGAAAUUUGGAUUAAUGCCCCAUAGCAUAUAAGGAUCGCAUGGUCUUUAUAUUAAAGUCACAACGGUUCAAGAUGGGCAUGCGUCCCAUUAGUUAGUUGGUAAGGUAACGGCUUACCAAGACGAUGAUGGGUAGGGGUCCUGAGAGGGAGAUCCCCCACACUGGUACUGAGACACGGACCAGACUCCUACGGGAGGCAGCAGUGAGGAAUAUUGGUCAAUGGGCGCAAGCCUGAACCAGCCAUGCCGCGUGCAGGAUGAAGCAUCUAUGGUGUGUAAACUGCUUUUGUACGGGAAGAAACACCUACUACUAGUGGAUUGGCGCUGAUGACGAAAGCGUGGUAGCGAACAGGAUUAGAUACCCCUGGUAGUCCACCGCCGUAAACGAUGGAUACUAGCUGUGGGGUAACUUCAGUGGCUAAGCGAAAGUGAUAAGUAUCCACCUGGGAGUACGAGCGCAAGCCUGAAACUCAAAGGAAUUGACGGGGGACCGCACAAGCGGUGGAGCAUGUGGUUUAAUUCGAUGAUACGCGAGGAACCUUACCAAGGCUUAAAUGUAGAUUGACAGGCGUGGAAACAUGCUUUUCUUCGGACAAUUUACAAGGUGCUGCAUGGUUGUCGUCAGCUCGUGCCGUGAGGUGUCAGGUUAAGUCCUAUAACGAGCGCAACCCCUGUUGUUAGUUGCCAGCGAGUCAUGUCGGGAACUCUAACAAGACUGCCAGUGCAAACUGUGAGGAAGGUGGGGAUGACGUCAAAUCAUCACGGCCCUUACGCCUUGGGCUACACACGUGCUACAAUGGCCGGUACAGAGAGCAGCCACUUCGUGAGGAGGAGCGAAUCUAUAAAACCGGUCACAGUUCGGAUCGGAGUCUGCAACUCGACUCCGUGAAGCUGGAAUCGCUAGUAAUCGGAUAUCGGCCAUGAUCCGGUGAAUACGUUCCCGGGCCUUGUACACACCGCCCGUCAAGCCAUGGAAGCUGGGGGUGCCUGAAGAUGGUGACGCUUUGAACGGUAC
rnacentral:rRNA from 1 species